GACGAACGCUGGCGGCGUGCUUAGCACAUGCAAGUCGAACGGAAAGGCCCUUCGGGGUACUCGAGUGGCGAACGGGUGAGUAACACGUGGGUGAUCUGCCCUGCACUUUGGGAUAAGCCUGGGAAACUGGGUCUAAUACCGAAUAUGAUCAUCGGCUUCAUGGUCGGUGGUGGAAAGCUUUUGCGGUGUGGGAUGGGCCCGCGGCCUAUCAGCUUGUUGGUGGGGUAAUGGCCUACCAAGGCGACGACGGGUAGCCGGCCUGAGAGGGUGACCGGCCACACUGGGACUGAGAUACGGCCCAGACUCCUACGGGAGGCAGCAGUGGGGAAUAUUGCACAAUGGGCGCAAGCCUGAUGCAGCGACGCCGCGUGAGGGAUGACGGCCUUCGGGUUGUAAACCUCUUUCAGCACAGACGAAGCGCAAGUGACGGUAUGUGCAGAAGAAGGACCGGCCAACUACGUG
rnacentral:rRNA from 1 species